AACACUCCUAUCGUCCUGGAGAUCCCAAGCUGCUACCCCUCGUCACGCAGCCGCAGACGCCACAGUCGAUCCGGGGAGACGACGCCGCGACCCGGCGACCGCCGCCGUCGAAGCGGAACACCAAGACGCGGCUGUCGUGGAUCACCAGGACGCCGCCACUCCUCCCUCUACCGGCUUCGAUCUUUUGUCUAGGGUUCUACGCCGCUGCCGCCCCUGCUCCCGCAUCUCACCUUCGUCCACGAGCACCUGCCGCUGCCACAGUGCGCCGGGCGCAUCCCUUCAGCCAGCGCCGACCAUCUCCCUCCCUCCAGCACUGGCCGCCUCCCUCCCCAAGUGCGAGUGCCAGUCGCCUCCCCGCGGCCGCCUCCAUCCCCUCCCUCGAACGCAUUGGGCCUGCCGAAUCUCGCCGUGGAGCGCGUGGGCCACCCAGGCAGCCAACCUCGCGUUCUCCGUCUCGGCCACCAUGAUCUGCACCGACCAGGCCCUCGGCGAGCAAGCAAUCUCGACGAUGGGAUUCCCAUGGAUGAUGUUGCCUUGCUGGCGGUUGUUGUGCUCAUGUGGUCCUCUCAUGUUGCAGCAGCCAAAUGCGAUGAUUCACUGAUCUUGCUCUCCCAUGGUAAGGAGCCUGUGGCUCUCAGGUCUCAACUAAUCACAAGGUCCUCUUCUUCCCUCCGAUCUCCUCGACCUGGCCGACGCCGGCGACUCCUCACCGCCCCGGGCCUUUGGAAGAAAAGUUUGGACCAUCCCUCGAUCUCCUCGCCCUGGCCGACGCCGCCGUCUCCUCGUCUUCGAGGAGAGGACGACUGUCAAGGACCGGCAUUCGCCGGCGCGCAGCUCGGCGUUGGUCAGAAAGAGCACCAGCGUCAUGCCCAGGCUCAUGACCCACAGUCAGAGCUUCGUCGCCGACAGGGGCGACCCUCCUCCACCGCCGAACAAGAUCCCCAAGAGCCCCUUCCCACCUGAGAAGAUCUCGAUGAGCUUCACGGCCGUGUGAAUCAUGAGCAGGAUGGCCAGGGAGGAGGAGCCCUCCUCGCCGGUCUCCGACGACAACGAUGAAGCGGCGCCCCUUGUCGGUCGCUCGGGUGCCCGUGCCGGGAAAGCUCAAUGCUCUCGGGAAGCCAUGGAGCAGAGGGAGCAGGCACAGAAGGUGGCGCUUGAGGCCUUGCGCAACGCGUCGGCGACGGAGAACGUAGUUAGGAUCUACAAGUAUGCCCAGCAACGGCACCUCUUUUUCCUAUGGCAAUUUGACACCGUCUGGACAGAGUGGCUUGUCUGCUUGAGCCCGCAUACUACGACGGCCUACUUGCUCGGUGCACGCGUCUGUUGGUCCCAGGUCAGGCCCCUCUAGAUCCCACUGGAAGCUGCAGUACUGGAUGGAUGAGAACUACGCUUACAAUUGCGAGCACUGCAAGGUAUGCAUGUGUCCCUCUUCCACGGAUGUCAACAUGUCGUUUUUUUUUUAUAAGUUUUAGACACAGUCUGAUCUAUGUAUUUUGUCCCUUUUUCCUUAGCAAACAAUGCAUUCUGCGAUAAUGAGCAUAUAGUGUCGAACUAUUAUUAUAACAUUGCAGUUUUGUUCGAGUCCAAGUUCCCGACCAUCAUCUCACAUAUAGUGUCCUCAAAUUAGAUCGAUAGUAAUGCAACUUUAUGCUAGAAUGUGCAACAAAAAACUGUUGAAUCCCCAAGAUGAAUGCCCGUACAAGAAGCUUGUCAAUCCUAAAUUCUUUCUUAGUAAACAUAUUUGAUCACAUAGUUUUCUUUUUUUGUGAAUUCCGAACAUACUACUUGGAGGAAGGAGGGGACGGCACAGAGCGGGUCCUCACACAGUCGUGUGAUUGACCACGACGACGCGGCCGUGCGGUGGGUACCCACGGACGCUGCUCUGCCGGGCCGGAGGAGGAGUCCAGAUCCAGCACCUCACCAAGGUCGGCGCUGCACGGAGGAGUGUACUGUUGAGAUCAAUGUCGGGAUCCGCAGGUUUCUAUCGCGUAGCAUCAGAUUAUAAUAUUGCCAAGCAUGAGCUGGCGGCGCAUAUGGAAGAUCCCAUGGGCCAGCAGCUGGAGCCUGGAUGCGGAUGUUAAUGCUCCAUAGCAGAGAGUUUAGGUUUACAGCAAGCAGCGACUACCAAAUUUUCCAUGUAGGAUAUAAAUGGAGAUUGUCAUGGAGAUGGUUGCCAUCAGUUCCAUUUUGUUGCACAUCACAAGCCUGCCAUUUUAGUACCUUGAGGUCUGACUCAUGCAUGCAGAUGGGGAGAUGCAUUCAUGUGCUUGCUGUUGCGUGCCAGUAGCUUCGUUCAGUUGCUUCAGUGGGAUAAAGUUACUCGAUGUGGAUUUUGUUCUUUAAACGUUCAACAAAUUUGCCAGCGAGUAGUUUGACACAUACGGGCAUGAGGUUCUUCUGGUAACAAGUUUUGGAUGCGUCGAUAGGAUAAGUUUUACAGAAAUGAGAUGAUCUUCUUAAGAGAGGCAUUUUUACAUCUUUGUACAGGUGUACUUUUGCGGCUGUACUUUUGUUAAUUGAAAGUGGAAUUACCCCAAUUGAUAACCAAAUUUUGUGCUCACUGCCGACAUGGGGUUGACCAUGACGUCCUAGAGCCCUUGCCUCUGCUUGAUGCUGCGUCGAGCCAGAUGAAACCAUCAGAUACGCGUGGUGUGUAGAGUCCGUUCUAAUCAAUGGAAAGGAAGUGGAGGAAGGGAAAUUGCCUACAGAGUUAUUUACAUUUCAACCUGAUCACAAGGCCAUUAGAGAUUGGACUAUUCCACUCGGUCCGAACUACAUUAGGUCAACUGCACAUUUUAUUUCAAGUUAUGAAGAAUACGAGCUGAGAACAUAUAGGAGCUCUAUGUGGUUUAAAUAUUUUUAUACGAAGUUUGAUGUACUUCUCAUGAAUAUCUUCGUAAACAGAAAUAAUGGUAAGCCAUGCACUGCUACAUUAUGUUUCACCAGAAUCACUCUUUAUAAUAUCUUGUUGCUUUCAUGUUGUGAAUACUAUUUAUCUUCGGCAUCUACUAAGGUAAAGCUAAAUGUUUUACGAGUAUAUUUCCAUCAUGUUGAGUAAUUUCUUUUGAAGAUGAUACUAAUAUGUUAAUCGGCUAAUUGGUGACCUUAAUCGUUCCAUUAACUAAUUUAUUGACCGGUAUUGUGAAGAAUUACUAACGGCAAAGGUACACCUUUGCCAUGUGUUUUGGACAGUUGAAGUUUCCGUGCUUGUAAUUGUGCCAAUGGAUGAACUGAUUCAUGAGACGUUGGUUCCAAGAACCCAAAAGUGUAAAUCGGCCAUGCUUUUAUCUUCACAUCGACCCACGAAAUUCUUAUUGAAUUAGAAUACUUUACCGUGAUUCAAUAAGAGUAAAAAUAGACCUGAAGCUAAUAACCGAUGUCCAUAUAUUAUUUUUGCUACUCAUGUGAAAGUGCAACAGGAACAUUAUAUUUCUCUUAUUAAAUAAAUUGGCUUCUACAAAU